AGAUUGAACGCUGGCGGCAUGCCUUACACAUGCAAGUCGAACGGUAACGCGGGGCAACCUGGCGACGAGUGGCGAACGGGUGAGUAAUGCAUCGGAACGUGCCCAAUAGUGGGGGAUAGCUCGGCGAAAGCCGGAUUAAUACCGCAUACGACCUACGGGUGAAAGCGGGGGAUCGCAAGACCUCGCGCUAAUGGAGCGGCCGAUGUCAGAUUAGGUUGUUGGUGGGGUAAAAGCCUACCAAGCCGACGAUCUGUAGCUGGUCUGAGAGGACGACCAGCCACACUGGGACUGAGACACGGCCCAGACUCCUACGGGAGGCAGCAGUGGGGAAUUUGGACAAUGGGGGCAACCUGAUCCAGCCAUGCCGCGUGCGGAAGAAGGCCUUGGGUGUAAACCGCUUUGUCAGGAGAAACGCUCAAGCUAAUACCUGGUAAUGACGGUACUGAAGAUAAGCACCGGCUAAUACGUGCCAGCAGCCGC
rnacentral:rRNA from 1 species